rnacentral:rRNA from 1 species
AGAGUUUGAUCCUGGCUCAGGAUGAACGCUAGCUACAGGCUUAACACAUGCAAGUCGAGGGGAAACGACAUCGAAAGCUUGCUUUUGAUGGGCGUCGACCGGCGCACGGGUGAGUAACGCGUAUCCAACCUGCCCACCACUUGGGGAUAACCUUGCGAAAGUAAGACUAAUACCCAAUGAUAUCUCUAGAAGACAUCUGAAAGAGUUAUUAAAGAUUUAUCGGUGAUGGAUGGGGAUGCGUCUGAUUAGCUUGUUGGCGGGGUAACGGCCACCAAGGCUACGAUCAGUAGGGGUUCUGAGAGGAAGGUCCCCCACAUUGGAACUGAGACACGGUCCAAAACUCCUACGGGAGGCA